CUGCAGGGAUAUCUUGAGUGUCCCCCGACUGUUUGUUCUUCACCGACGACGAAUUUAGGCAGGCAAAGCGUGCGCUGUCGCGGUGGGCUACUCUGCCGAUAAAGCUACCAACGGACGCGAGGAGGUUUCGAAGUGGCUCUUUUCGAAGAUGCUCACUCCAUCGAUGAAUUCGCUUCUUGGAUAAAAUAGAUGCGCUGUCGCUUUGCAGCUGCUCAUUGGAAGCGUUCAAGCUCUUUUUCUCCUUUGUGAGCUGAAGUGCUGCAAGAGCCCUUCUAAGGUUCUUCAACUCCUGGAGCUUAAAUCGGAUAGGCUGCAACACCCACACUCUGCCUGACCUGGAGGACGAGACCAGAAGAAAAGCAAACUAGUUUUCUGGACACAAUCGAAUCUGCACUGGAUGCGACACACGCCGUCACACGAAAGAAGCAUAGCAUCCCUUUCGAAAGAAUAUGCUCUGGCAGCUUGCGGCUCUCGCUGAAGGCCGCAUGAUUUGACCGAGACUAAAAGGAAACUCUGACAAUUCUAUUUUGUCAUCCGAUAUUCACGGCGCUGUCGCGGUAUCACCAGCUCAGGCACUCACCUUGGGGGUCGCGGUUUUUCCGGGUAGUCCCACGACUUCUCUUCCGUCAACAUGAGCAGCGAAACGACAGUAAAGGGCACGUGCAAAUAGGAAAUGAGCUGCAUGAAUGCUCUCAAAAAUAUCGAGGAAGGACGUCUUAGGGGAGGUACCAAAGAUUUGACUGGCCUUCUGUCUGGAGCGAAUGGCCGUUUCUGCCGGUGAACCGUUGUGCCAACAGGACAGUCUUCUGUCCUGUCAGAACUAUUUGACUGUCUACCACUGAUCACAUCCGUGGUGCCGCAUGAGCCAUCUUUUGGUACAUUCAUUUUUGGGUGGCUUCCCGGGAAAGGCUGGUGACUACCCAGCAUGUCACCUGCCGAGUGAGACGACGAGUAAAACCGUUUAUCUUGCCCUUCAUCUUGGCCCAUAGUAGGCAAUCGUUGGUCUGUGAUGGUUGUGCGGACGACAGGACAACGGGCAGCUCCUGCGUUUGGACUCUUCAACUGCCUUGAAUUUGGAGAAGCUCCUAACGCAUGACUAAUGGAUUCUUGGGCGCGUGAAAGAGGAAGUACAGUGUCAAGUUCAUCAUACAGGCCUUUGAGAAGUUGGAGAGGGAACGAGCGACUUCUCCCAUUCAUUUUACGAGAAGGCGGAGAAGUCACAUCGAAUUCUGCUUCACACUUCACAGAAUGAGCCUCUGAUAAUCGCCCACAUGAGGACGAAACAUGUCCGGAUCCCCGUGGACAAGGAGCGGAAAGCACAUCAGAGAGAAACAUAUUUGUAAUUGCUAUUCCAUCCGCGACCGCGUGGUGAAUUCGAAACAUAACCAUCGACCCUACGCGCCGUGAAUUGAACGAAGCAUCAUCAGACCCAGCGUCGUCGUCCUUGUGUGAAGAUGAGUUUUUUCCUUCCAAGCGGUCUCCUUCGUCCAACCCUGGAAGUUCAACAUGUUCAAGCAGAACGAACUGCCAUAGAGGCAUAGACGGCUGUAAUGCCUGGGUAGCGAGGACGUUUUCCAAAGCCUGCGCCUCUGCAGAUGUAACCACGCACUUGCAGUUGUCGCCCUCGUCGCAAAGGAUUUCGUCUUUGUACCUUCCGCAGCUGUCGCUGCUACUGAACGUAGUAGCUAAACCUUCCUCGUCAGUAAUUCUUAGUUGUUCCCGUUUAUAGUGUUGAACAACACCGUGGUGAAGACCGUGAAGAGUCCCACUAUGGUGACGAAGGAGUGAGAGAGCUUCAUGUCUAUUUAGUUUCAGUACGUGAUUUCGAACAUUGAAAUCUUCCGCUCGAAUCCAGCAGUAGCGCCCAAAGAGUUUACCGAUGACAGUUCGCAACCGAGGGUGCUUGUACACAGUAAGAGGUUCCCAUUCAUUUGCACAAUCCGAAUAAGUAGCAGUAUUUCCCACGCUUGCUUGCUCCCUC
rnacentral:lncRNA from 1 species